rnacentral:rRNA from 1 species
CGGGCCUACGGGGCGCAGCAGUGGGGGAUAUUGCACAAUGGGGGAAACCCUGAUGCAGCGACGCCGCGUGGGUGAAGAAACGCCUCGGUGCGUAAAGCCCUGUCAGCAGGGAAGAAAAUGACGGUACCUGAAGAAGAAGCCCCGGCUAACUACGUGCCAGCAGCCGCGGUAAUACGUAGGGGGCAAGCGUUAUCCGGAUUUACUGGGUGUAAAGGGGGCGCAGACGGCGAUGCAAGCCAGGAGUGCAAGCCCGGGGCUCAACCCCGGGACUGCUCU